UUACCCAACACACACUCUGACAAUAAUAAAGAUGAGCUACCGAGCGCUGCUGGUGAUGAGGAUGUGUCCUGGCUGUCCUACUUCAUCCCUGUUAGCAUAGCUCUACUGGUUGUCACACUGGCAGUGUUAACCCUUCUGAGUUUGUAUGGCUGGAAACGAAUACUGAACCACACAAAGGGACAGGAAACGCCCGCUCACAUGAUACCCGACCUCCCCAAUCCGAGUGCUCCUUCCAUUCUUGCCCUGCAUGACACCUACACUCCAAGUACUGCAGAAAGACCUCCAUCACAACCUCCCCUGAUGACCACCAAUGGGAACCAGCCUGCUGUGGCAAACACAGUAGAUGGAGGUCAAAGGUCAGACCGUGCAGUGUAUGCUGUCGUCAACUACCGACAGUCCGGGAUACCUGCCAGAGAACAACAUGCUGUGACUGAACAAAAUAAAAACACUGCAGAAUAUGCUGCCAUCAUUGUUUCCUGAACAUUUUGGUCAUAGACACAUGCAGAUGAAAACAUGGAUGGAAAAAUGUACAUGCGUCAACCCGUAUGUUGGGAACCACAUAGAUCUAAUAAUUUCUGUUAAGGUGUCUACUCACACCUUCAGCAAAUUCACAAUUACAUUUUUUAGAAAUCAAAAACACAUUUAUUAUGCGCUAAUAGCCCAAAUACACUUGUUUGCCUUAUAAAAAUUGAUUCUGAAGUUUUGAGUGCCAUUACUCUGUUAUGAAUGACACAGAAGGACUUUUUUCCACUGUCACACAGCACACAAUUCAAUAAGAUUAAACCUGAAUGUUUUAAACAA